CUGGGAUAGCUUAGUCGUAGAGCGGGGGACUCAAAAUCUUCGGUC
rnacentral:tRNA from 1 species